ACACUCCCAGCUGUGCCUGGCUAUGACUAGUUGUGCAUUCUAGAGCUCUUUAGAGCUACUUCAGAGUUGCAGGAUAAAGAUUUCUAGGGAAGAGGGCAGGGCCAGGCGCCCGGAGGAUUUCCAGCCACGGGUAGUUUACCGAGAGAAAAAGCUGCGGGCGUCGCUCCCUCUUUUACAUAAGAAAGGCUAAGCUCUAAAAGGCAGACAACUUCUUCCUGGCCCUUCGGAGAAGCUAGCCCUUGGAACCUAGGCCCUGAGUCGUGAGGAAGAGGAAAGACUACAUGGGGUCACUAUGUAAGGUGUUCCUGGUGACAGCUCCUGCUGAGGACCCAGCUGACAGCAAGCACCAACCUCCAGACAACAAGAGCUUUCUUCUGGCACAUCUGGUUUAUGUGAAUACAUUAGUGAGUUUCCCAGGAAGCCGCAGCAUCACACAAAGGCCCAUGAUCAUUUCACCAGGCCUCUCGAGUGUGCUUGUUUUAUUCAGAGGCUUUUUGCUUUCUUAGAAGACAUUCUCACUCAAUAAUGUGGCAAUACAGGCAAAAUCAGCAGGCCAAGUUUCUGGAAGAAGAGCCAUUUAGGAGCUGCUCCUCCUUCAGCAUGAAUGUCCACUCUCAGACUUUGACAGUGAUGAGGAUAUGCCAGAACACCUCUCUGGCCCUUCAGAGAGCACCGGCCUAGCUGGACUCCGGAUCCCUUAGGGUCCAGCUCUGACUUCCCAUGGAGGCUGUCACCAGCUCACUUCCCUGUGGAACAUCUUCCUGACUCACAACAGCAGCCAGCUCUGCCAGGACUAUGAGCUUCCAGGUACAGCCAUGUUGAGGGGCAUGGCCACAGAGCAGUGACUAAAGGGACUAGUCUACAAAGGAUGUUAAGAUAUUGCUUGGAAAAACUGCAAAUUUGGUGCCAGUUGCUGCAGGUUUUCACCAGUGACUCCUUAUGAAAUGGGCAAGAUGUUAAAAAAAAAAAAAGCUCUCUUCAAUGCACAUAGUAAACUCUUUAUCUUGAAAAUGAACAUGCGAUAAGAGAAAAAGUCAUUUUUAAUCACCACUCUCCUCUAAGCACAGUGAAUACUGGUAGCUGGAGUAUCUUCUGUUUGCUGAGCACCAACUGCAAUAUUCAUCUCUGGCAUUAAUAGCUUUUGACAUACUUGAAGCAGUAUUAAGCAGUGGGUAGGGGUAUGCCAAUUUAGAGAUAGACUCUUGGAAAGACCUCAGUGGAUCUGCUGAGGAAACAGAGAGAGGUUGAGAAGCUGGGAGUGAAGGCUGAGGAGGGUGAGAAUCAAAGGGGAAAAGGAGAGGGAUCAGAGGGGGCUGCAGGGCUCAGAAGAAAGACUCAGGAAAGGAGGCAAACCUAAUAGAAAAUUUUCAAAGCUGCAGUAUACUUUCACUUCUACAACUUUUACCAAAUGAGGUGUAAAUAUUUUUAAAGCGACAGCUUGAAGGGGUAGCCUAUUAUUAAGCUGUCUGAAGCACACGUGUCUCAGUCUAGCCAUUUUGAUGCCCCAUCCCUCAAGGGGCUCUGCUCUGUGGACCUUGCCUCCUGGCUUCAUCUCACCUGGUGCCUGGAUCACAGUCCCCAAGCAGGUGUAGACCUAGCUGGGGAGUGGGAUAAUACCACACAAAGGGGUGAAGGAGGUGGGAAAGUACAAGAGAAAGCUUUCUCUCUGAUUGAGAUGAACAUCUUAAAAAAGACCCCUUUAUGAACAAAUGUUUUUCUUGGUAUACUGGAAUUAAAACCCUACCCAAAGCGCUAGCAACAUAAACAUCGAGAAGCAAGAUAUAUCGAUCUGGGGGCAUUCGAAGGAGAAUGAUGUAUAAAGUCACAAAAGCAUGAAGUAGAAAAUGAGAUGAACACCAGGAAUACAGCAUUUCACAGAUACUAUUGAAGUAACUACAAUAGCCAGAAAAUGUAGUGUUCAGAUAAUCCACACAAAUAGGUGACUUGCAAGGAUGAGGCAGGGAAAUCUUUUCAUUAGUUGACUAAAAAUGUACAACCACAAAGAGUCUAGCUUAAGCUUCACGUUGCUCAGAAUAGCACUGCACUAGUGUAGAAUGCAGCAGGUCGUCACUGCGGAGGCUCAGAGGUUCCGACUCUGCUCCUCCGUAGCCACAGAUGAGUCUGAUGAGGAACUUUCUAUAAAUAAUAAAUGCCUCAGCCUUGUGCUGCAUUUGCCUUAUUUAAAGGUAACAGAUUACUGGAAAGGGUAAGCAAGCCCCUGGGGCUCAGGGGUAAGCCUCACAAACUCUGAGCAGCCUUUUAUGAGCUUUUGCAGUACAAUAAUCUAUAUAAACCUCCUGGUGAUUGUCUUAUCUAGAAUAAGUAUUUAGAUAACAGAGGCCAGCCCAAUUCUCCCUUUGCUUUUCCCUGGUUAUAUAACAAAAAAUGGUGGCAUAGAUGAUGUGUUCCUUCUACCCCUCCCUCUUUCCCAUUUGCACGUUAUUGAACUAUUUCCCUUAAUUCUCCUAUAAGCUGGUGGAAGAUACAGACAGAAUGGCCAGACUCUACACUUCCACUGACAUUUAAAGGUCAAGUCUCCUUGUAUCAUAAAUAAUGAUAUCUCCCUUCCACACGUAGGGAAAGGAUAACUGAAAAUUACCUAAGGUCAGAGGGGGAGGGAACCUUUGAAAGUUCACCUGGCAAAAGGACUUGAUUUACUGCAAUUUUGCUGAACACUUUAGCUGAGAUAGCUCGUUUCAUGAAGAGUUGAAGGAAGUUAACAUCAAAGGAUGAAUUCAUCCAGCUAUUGUUUUUCACCUCUGUUGUUAAUUGAUUUUAAUUUGGUUACCCUCUCAAUAAAUAAAGACUUCUAAAACUGGGUCAAUGACAUAAAUAGAAUCUGGUUUUCAAAUAUUUUCUUUCAUAUAGAGGCUUUUAAAAAAAUAUUGCUGGAC
rnacentral:lncRNA from 1 species